GACAGAGGGGGCAAGCGUUGCUCGGAAUUACUGGGCGUAAAGGGCGCGUAGGCGGGAUGGCAAGUCGGUCGUGAAAUCCCUCGGCUCAACUGAGGAUCGUCGAUCGAUACUGCCGUUCUUGAGGAUUGCAGAGGAGACUGGAAUUCCCGGCGUAGCGGUGAAAUGUGUAGAGAUCGGGAGGAACACCGGUGGCGAAGGCGGGUCUCUGGGCAAUUCCUGACGCUGAGGCGCGAAAGCGUGGGGAGCAAACGGG
rnacentral:rRNA from 1 species